rnacentral:misc_RNA from 1 species
GCAAUUACUAAGAUCCUGCUCAAUUAUCCGGACAGAAAACUAAAAUGAAGUGUAAGGACAGCUAGCUAAAGUAGAAACUGACAAUGGGGAAGACAAAAAAAAACAGUUUUAUCUACUAGUUUCACAUCAACCUACAUCAGCACAGAAGUUAAUCGUAUCUAAGAAUAGCAUCAAAGUAUACAAUGCCAUGCAUUCUGAUCAUAAACACUGAAAUAUUAUCACACAGUCGGUUUUCGCUACAAGUUGAUCUCCAAUGCACAGCAUUGUUUGUUUCUGAGAGAGCAUAUGUUGUUU